rnacentral:rRNA from 1 species
UACGAGGGGGGCAAGCGUUGUUCGGAAUUAUUGGGCGUAAAGGGUGCGUAGGCGGCGCGGUAUGUCUCUUGUGAAAUCUCCAGGCUCAACUUGGAGUCUGCAAGGGAAACUGCCGUGCUUGAGUACUGGAGAGGUGAGUGGAAUUCCCGGUGUAGCGGUGAAAUGCGUAGAUAUCGGGGAGGAACACCUGUGGCGAAAGCGGCUCACUGGACAGUAACUGACGACUG